GAGGAGCCCAGAGCCUGAAUCAGUGUGUGUGUUAGUGGAAGCGUCUGGAAAGGCGCGCGAUACAGGGUGACAGCCCCGUACACAAAAAUGCACAUAUUGUGAGCUCGAUGAGUAGGGCGGGACACGUGGUAUCCUGUCUGAAUAUGGGGGGACCAUCCUCCAAGGCUAAAUACUCCUGACUGACCGAUAGUGAACCAGUACCGUGAGGGAAAGGCGAAAAGAACCCCGGCGAGGGGAGUGAAAAAGAACCUGAAACCGUGUACGUACAAGCAGUGGGAGCCUCUUAAUGGGGUGACUGCGUACCUUUUGUAUAAUGGGUCAGCGACUUAUAUUCUGUAGCAAGGUUAACCGAAUAGGGGAGCCGAAGGGAAACCGAGUCUUAACUGGGCGUUAAGUUGCAGGGUAUAGACCCGAAACCCGGUGAUCUAGCCAUGGGCAGGUUGAAGGUUGGGUAACACUAACUGGAGGACCGAACCGACUAAUGUUGAAAAAUUAGCGGAUGACUUGUGGCUGGGGGUGAAAGGCCAAUCAAACCGGGAGAUAGCUGGUUCUCCCCGAAAGCUAUUUAGGUAGCGCCUCGUGAAUUCAUCUCCGGGGGUAGAGCACUGUUUCGGCAAGGGGGUCAUCCCGACUUACCAACCCGAUGCAAACUGCGAAUACCGGAGAAUGUUAUCACGGGAGACACACGGCGGGUGCUAACGUCCGUCGUGAAGAGGGAAACAACCCAGACCGCCAGCUAAGGUCCCAAAGUCAUGGUUAAGUGGGAAACGAUGUGGGAAGGCCCAGACAGCCAGGAUGUUGGCUUAGAAGCAGCCAUCAUUUAAAGAAAGCGUAAUAGCUCACUGGUCGAGUCGGCCUGCGCGGAAGAUGUAACGGGGCUAAACCAUGCACCGAAGCUGCGGCAGCGACACUAUGUGUUGUUGGGUAGGGGAGCGUUCUGUAAGCCUGUGAAGGUGGCCUGUGAGGGUUGCUGGAGGUAUCAGAAGUGCGAAUGCUGACAUAAGUAACGAUAAAGCGGGUGAAAAGCCCGCUCGCCGGAAGACCAAGGGUUCCUGUCCAACGUUAAUCGGGGCAGGGUGAGUCGACCCCUAAGGCGAGGCCGAAAGGCGUAGUCGAUGGGAAACAGGUUAAUAUUCCUGUACUUGGUGUUACUGCGAAGGGGGGACGGAGAAGGCUAUGUUGGCCGGGCGACGGUUGUCCCGGUUUAAGCGUGUAGGCUGGUUUUCCAGGCAAAUCCGGAAAAUCAAGGCUGAGGCGUGAUGACGAGGCACUACGGUGCUGAAGCGACAAAUGCCCUGCUUCCAGGAAAAGCCUCUAAGCAUCAGGUAACAUCAAAUCGUACCCCAAACCGACACAGGUGGUCAGGUAGAGAAUACCAAGGCGCUUGAGAGAACUCGGGUGAAGGAACUAGGCAAAAUGGUGCCGUAACUUCGGGAGAAGGCACGCUGAUAUGUAGGUGAAGCGACUUGCUCGUGGAGCUGAAAUCAGUCGAAGAUACCAGCUGGCUGCAACUGUUUAUUAAAAACACAGCACUGUGCAAACACGAAAGUGGACGUAUACGGUGUGACGCCUGCCCGGUGCCGGAAGGUUAAUUGAUGGGGUUAGCGGUAACGCGAAGCUCUUGAUCGAAGCCCCGGUAAACGGCGGCCGUAACUAUAACGGUCCUAAGGUAGCGAAAUUCCUUGUCGGGUAAGUUCCGACCUGCACGAAUGGCGUAAUGAUGGCCAGGCUGUCUCCACCCGAGACUCAGUGAAAUUGAACUCGCUGUGAAGAUGCAGUGUACCCGCGGCAAGACGGAAAGACCCCGUGAACCUUUACUAUAGCUUGACACUGAACAUUGAGCCUUGAUGUGUAGGAUAGGUGGGAGGCUUUGAAGUGUGGACGCCAGUCUGCAUGGAGCCGACCUUGAAAUACCACCCUUUAAUGUUUGAUGUUCUAACGUGGGCCCCUUACCGGGGUUGCGGACAGUGUCUGGUGGGUAGUUUGACUGGGGCGGUCUCCUCCUAAAGAGUAACGGAGGAGCACGAAGGUUGGCUAAUCCUGGUCGGACAUCAGGAGGUUAGUGCAAUGGCAUAAGCCAGCUUGACUGCGAGCGUGACGGCGCGAGCAGGUGCGAAAGCAGGUCAUAGUGAUCCGGUGGUUCUGAAUGGAAGGGCCAUCGCUCAACGGAUAAAAGGUACUCCGGGGAUAACAGGCUGAUACCGCCCAAGAGUUCAUAUCGACGGCGGUGUUUGGCACCUCGAUGUCGGCUCAUCACAUCCUGGGGCUGAAGUAGGUCCCAAGGGUAUGGCUGUUCGCCAUUUAAAGUGGUACGCGAGCUGGGUUUAGAACGUCGUGAGACAGUUCGGUCCCUAUCUGCCGUGGGCGCUGGAGAACUGAGGGGGGCUGCUCCUAGUACGAGAGGACCGGAGUGGACGCAUCACUGGUGUUCGGGUUGUCAUGCCAAUGGCACUGCCCGGUAGCUAAAUGCGGAAGAGAUAAGUGCUGAAAGCAUCUAAGCACGAAACUUGCCCCGAGAUGAGUUCUCCCUGACUCCUUGAGAGUCCUGAAGGAACGUUGAAGACGACGACGUUGAUAGGCCGGGUGUGUAAGCGCAGCGAUGCGUUGAGCUAACCGGUACUAAUGAACCGUGAGGCUUAACCUUACAACGCCGAAG
rnacentral:rRNA from 1 species